GUAGGGAAUCUUCCGCAAUGGACGCAAGUCUGACGGAGCAACGCCGCGUGAGUGACGAAGGUUUUCGGAUCGUAAAACUCUGUUGUGAGGGAAGAACACGUACCAACUAACUAUUGGUACCUUGACGGUACCUCACCAGAAAGCCACGGCUAACUACGUGCCAGCAGCCGCGGUAAUACGUAGGUGGCAAGCGUUGUCCGGACUUAUUGGGCGUAAAGCGCGCGCAGGCGGUUCCUUAAGUCUGAUGUGAAAGCCCACGGCUCAACCGUGGAGGGUCAUUGGAAACUGGGGAACUUGAGUGCAGAAGAGGAAAGUGGAAUUCCACGUGUAGCGGUGAAAUGCGUAGAGAUGUGGAGGAACACCAGUGGCGAAGGCGACUUUCUGGUCUGUAACUGACGCUGAGGCGCGAAAGCGUGGGGAGCAAACAGGAUUAGAUACCCGGGUAGUCC
rnacentral:rRNA from 1 species